rnacentral:rRNA from 1 species
GGAGUUGCUGCUGCUAUCUGUCGAGAUCAAGCUGGCAUUUUUCAAGGUGCUUCGGCUCUGGUUAUCAAGGGAACCAAUGAUCCACCAACGCUCGAAGCAUUAGCAGUCAGAGAGGCUUUGGCGCUUGCCGAUGAUCUUAAUAGCCGCAGAAUACAUGUCGCUUCUGACUGCAAAGAUGUACUGAACGACAUCAAGAACAAAACACCGGCUAUCUAUGGAGCUAUUCUGCAUGAAAUCAUAGAUCAUAGUUCCACUUUUAUUUCAUGUACCUUUGUGCAUGAGUUUAGGAGCUCGAAUUUCGAGGCUCACAAUCUUGCGAAGCAUAGUUUGAAUUUGGGGGUUGGCCGCCAUGUGUGGUUAGGCAAUCCUGGUAAUCUUUCUUUUGUACCUUUGAACAUUGGCACAAGUUAA